rnacentral:rRNA from 1 species
GUGGGGAAUUUUGGACAAUGGGCGAAAGCCUGAUCCAGCAACGCCGCGUGAGUGAUGAAGGCCUUCGGGUCGUAAAGCUCUGUCGGUUGGAACGAAUAAGGGCCACCUAACACGUGGCCCGACGACGGUACCAGCAAAGGAAGCACCGGCUAACUCUGUGCCAGCAGCCGCGGUAAGACAGAGGGUGCAAGCGUUGUUCGGAAUUACUGGGCGUAAAGCGCGCGUAGGCGGUGGAGUGUGUCUGAUGUGAAAUCCCUCGGCUCAACCGGGGAACGGCAUUGGAAACUACUUCGCUGGAGUUCAGGAGAGGGUGGCGGAAUUCCCAGUGUAGAGGUGAAAUUCGUAGAUACUGGGAGGAACACCGGAGGCGAAGGCGGCCACCUGGCCUGAUACUGACGCUCAGGCGCGAAAGCGUGGGUAGCAAACAGGAUUAGAAACCCCGGUAGUCC